rnacentral:rRNA from 1 species
UUCGCAAUGCCCGAAAGGGUGAACGAGCGACGCCGCGUGCGGGAUGAAGGGUUUCGGCUUGUAAACCGCUUUUCUUUGGGAAGAAGGUCUGUCUCGUGCAGAUGGGCUCGACGGUACCAGAGGAAUAAGCCUCGGCUAACUCCGUGCCAGCAGCCGCGGUAAGACGGAGGAGGCAAGCGUUGUUCGGAAUUAUUGGGCGUAAAGGACGCGUAGGCGGAUCGGUAAGUCUGGCGUGAAAUCUCCACCGCUUAACGGGGAGAGGUCGCUGGAAACUACCGAUCUGGAGUCGGCAGGGGACCAUGGAAUUCCAGGUGUAGCGGUGGAAUGCGUAGAUAUCUGGAAGAACACCGGUAGCGAAGGCGGUGGUCUGGGCCGAAACUGACGCUGAGGCGCGAAAGCUAGGGGAGCAAACGGGAUUAGAUACCCCGGUAGUCCUAGCCGUAAACGAUGGGCACUAAGUAGAGGGGUUUU